GACGAACGCUGGCGGCGUGCCUAACACAUGCAAGUCGAGCGAAUGAAGUUCCUUCGGGAAUGGAUUUAGCGGCGGACGGGUGAGUAACACGUGGGCAACCUGCCUCAUAGAGGGGAAUAGCCUUCCGAAAGGGAGAUUAAUACCGCAUAAGAUUGUAGUACCGCAUGAUACAGCAAUUAAAGGAGCAAUCCGCUAUGAGAUGGGCCCGCGGCGCAUUAGCUAGUUGGUGAGGUAACGGCUCACCAAGGCGACGAUGCGUAGCCGACCUGAGAGGGUGAUCGGCCACAUUGGGACUGAGACACGGCCCAGACUCCUACGGGAGGCAGCAGUGGGGAAUAUUGCACAAUGGGGGAAACCCUGAUGCAGCAACGCCGCGUGAGUGAUGACGGCCUUCGGGUUGUAAAGCUCUGUCUUCAGGGACGAUAAUGACGGUAC
rnacentral:rRNA from 1 species